AGUGAACGCUGGCGGCGUGCUUAACACAUGCAAGUCGAACAGUAACAGAGACUUCGGUCUGCUGACGAGUGGCGCACGGGUGAGUAAUAUAUAGUUAAUGUGCCUCGAAGACUGGGAUAGCCACUGGAAACGGUGAUUAAUACUAGAUAGUCCUUUCUAACAUAAGUUAGAUUGGUAAACGUUUUUUCGCUUCGAGAUCAGACUAUAUCCCAUCAGUUAGUUGGUAGUGUAAGAGACUACCAAGGCAAUGACGGGUAGCGGGUUUGAGAGGAUGAUCCGCCACACUGGUACUGAGACACGGACCAGACUCCUACGGGAGGCAGCAGUGAGGAAUAUUGCACAAUGGGGGGAACCCUGAUGCAGCAACGCCGCGUGGAGGAUGACGCAUUUCGGUGUGUAAACUCCUUUUAUGAGUCAAGAAAAUGACGGUAGCUCAUGAAUAAGCACCGGCUAACUCCGUGCCAGCAGCCGCGGUAAAGU
rnacentral:rRNA from 1 species